UACGUAGGGUGCAAGCGUUGUCCGGAAUUAUUGGGCGUAAAGAGCUCGUAGGCGGUCUGUCGCGUCUGCUGUGAAAACUCAGGGCUUAACCCUGAGCUUGCAGUGGGUACGGGCAGACUAGAGUGCGGUAGGGGAGACUGGAAUUCCUGGUAUAGCGGUGAAAUGCGCAGAUAUCAGGAGGAACACCGGUGGCGAAGGCGGCGCUCUGGGCUGGAACUGACGCUGAGGAGCGAAAGCGUGGGGAGCGAACAGG
rnacentral:rRNA from 1 species